UACGGAGGGGGCUAGCGUUGUUCGGAAUUACUGGGCGUAAAGCGCACGUAGGCGGCUUUGUAAGUUAGAGGUGAAAGCCCAGGGCUCAACCCUGGAAUUGCCUUUAAGACUGCAUCGCUUGAACAUCGGAGAGGUAAGUGGAAUUCCGAGUGUAGAGGUGAAAUUCGUAGAUAUUCGGAAGAACACCAGUGGCGAAGGCGACACGCUGGGCCGUACCUGACACUGAUGCGCGACAGCAUGGGGAGCAAACAGG
rnacentral:rRNA from 1 species